CCGGGAGGCUGUGUGAGGAGCACUAUGCAUUAUCAAGGUAACCAGCAGGGACCCAGUUCAAGAGGCCGAGGUAGACUUCGCGGUCUUCGAGGUGGAAGGCGUUAUAUCCCAUACUUAAGUCGUCACAUCCGACCAUGUGGUGCGAAAUUAUCUUCAUAUCACAGCACGGAGGAGUGUAAUCAAUCCUCCUCGGAUGACUCGACACAGCCCCCAAGUCCCCCACCAUGCGUUGUGCCAACUUAUGCGCCAGAACCUAUUCAAGAACCCCCACCAAAUACAAUGGAACAAUCACCUACUAGAGAACAAACUGCUGCAGAUGCCCCAAUGGAGACCGAAGGAACGCAAGAACAGAGGAGACGAACUCGUGGGCCAGCUAGAUGCAUUUUCUUUGACAAGCUAAGGAAGAACGGGAAAGUGUAGUUGAAGAUAAACGAUGGUGAGACAGCCCCAUGUUGUGAACACUCUUCUAUGUUCA